CCCCCAUAAGUGUGGGCUUGGAGUUUCUGUGUGGCCGUGCCAUUGGCGGCAUCAAUCGAACAACUUUAUCCUCCACAAGCUGUCCCCAGCUCCUUUACCUCUGGUAAUUUGCUGGACACUCAGCCUGUCAGCCACACAGAAACUCCAAGCCCACAGUUAUGGGG
rnacentral:pre_miRNA from 1 species